rnacentral:rRNA from 1 species
UACGUAGGGUGCAAGCGUUAAUCGGAAUACUGGGCGUAAAGGGCGCGUAGGCGGCUUGAUAAGCGUGCGGUGGAAAGCCCGGGGCCUCAACCCCGGGUCGGCCGUGCGAACUGUCGAGCUGGAGCACUGUAGAGGCAGGUGGAAUUCCGGGUGUAGCGGUGGAAUGCGUAGAGAUCCGGAAGAACACCGGUGGCGAAGGCGGCCUGCUGGGCAGUGGCUGACGCUGAGGGCGCGACAGCGUAGGGGAGGCAAACAGG